rnacentral:rRNA from 1 species
UACGUAGGGGGCGAGCGUUGUCCGGAUUCAUUGGGCGUAAAGAGCUCGUAGGCGGCUUGGCAAGCCGGGUGUGAAAACUCCAGGCUCAACCUGGAGACGCCACCCGGGACUGCUAUGGCUAGAGUCCGGUAGGGGAUCACGGAAUUCCUGGUGUAGCGGUGAAAUGCGCAGAUAUCGGGAAGAACACCCGUGGCGAAGGCGGCUCUCUGGGACGGUACUGACGCUGAGACGAGAAAGCGUGGGGAGCGAACAGG